UCUUCACACUGGCGCGGCUGUGACGCGACGGAGGCGGCGGGAGCGGCAGCCGUGGGCACUUUCCACGGGUGAGGCCUGGAGAACGGGUGGACGUGCAGGCCAGAACCCGGGACCCACCCUGCUGAGCCCCCAGACUCUCCGCUGCCCACGACCCUCGGAGUGGCACCCUCUCCUGGCCGUCUCCUCUCGUGGGUCCCGAAGAACGGGUGCAAAGCCGAGUUCCUCCGCUGUACUGCGCGGGCGCGCGUUUCGUUCUUCGGUUUUGCCACGGUUCUGUGACUCCCUAAAGGUUGAGGGCUACUGAAUUAGAAGAAACGCCGAGCUGGCUUCUGCUGGGCUGCCAGGCAGCGUGCUUGGACUGGGGAGGGCAGGGCGUGUUUACUCUCAGUAGAGCAACCGCAAGAUCUCCUUUAAAAAUACCAGUUCUGAGCUUCGGCAUUGGAGAGGCCGCCUGUCAUUCAGCCUCUUCAGACCCUCUCUCACUCCCUGUCUUCCGGAGCGUGAGUGAAGCCCGGGUGAGGUGUUUUCCCACACGCCGGGGGCCCGGAGCUGAGAAGGGGCAUGGCCAGCAUCACGCAGCUGUUCGACGACCUGUGUGAGGCCCUCCUGCCGGCUGCCAAGACUCACCUGGGCCAGCGCAGUGUGAACCGGAAGAGGGCAAAGCGGAGCCUCAAGAAGGUGGCCUACAAUGCUCUUUUCACAAAUCUUUUUCAAGAUGAGACUCAACAGCUGCAGCCUAACAUGUCAAAACUACCAGCGAGAAACAAGAUCCUCAUGUUGUCCUUUGACUUGAGAGUGGGUGGCCUGGGCCCCAAGGCCGACCGUUUGGAGGAGCUUGUGGAGGAGCUUGAAGCAGCCCCUUGCUGUCCGCUUUUGGAGGUGGGGUCUGUUUUGGACCUCCUGGUUCAGCUGGCAGGGAGUGGUCCCCUUCAAGUUCUGCCGAGAAAACGAGACUACUUCCUUAACAACAAGCAUGUGGGGAGAAACGUUCCGUACAGCGGCUAUGAUUGCGACGACCUGAGUGUGUUUGAGAUGGACGUUCAGUCUCUGAUCUCCAGAGAAGAGUGUUUGUGUCACAGCAUGAUCCAGGAAACACUUCAGGUUAUGGAGGCUGCUCCAGGCACUGGCCUGCCCACCGUCGGGCUCUUCUCAUUUGGUGACCCUUGUGGUGACAGGUUCGAGAGAGACACCCGGGUCUCGCUCUUCGGGGCCCUUGUGCACAGCCGCACUUAUGACAUGGACGUCCGACUGGGCCUGCCCCCCGUGCCAGACAAUGCGGACCUCUCUGGGCUGGCUAUUAAGGUCCCACCGAGUGUGGAUCAGUGGGAAGACGAAGGAUUCCAGUCAGCGUCCAACUUGACUCCUGAUUCCCAGUCUGAGCCCAGCGUGACCCCAGACGUGGACCUGUGGGAAGCCGCACUCACCUAUGAGGCCAGCAAGCGGAGGUGCUGGGAGCGAGUUGGCUGCCCCCCUGGCCACAGAGAGGAGCCUUACCUGACGGAGGCGGGAAGGGACGCUUUCGACAAGUUCUGCAGGCUCCGCCAAGGGGAGCUCCAGCUGCUUGCUGGGGGCGUCCUACAGGCCCCGCAGCCCGUGCUGGUGAAGGAGUGCGAGCUGGUGAAAGACGUGCUGAACGUCUUGAUUGGGGUCGUGUCUGCCACGUUUUCCCUCUGCCAGCCGGCCCAGGCCUUUGUGGUGAAGCGGGGCGUCCACGUGUCAGGAGCGUCUCCCGAGAGCAUCAGCAGCCUACUCUCGGAAGUGGCCGAGUAUGGGACCUGCUACACGCGCCUGAGUCAUUUCUCUCUGCAGUCCGUCCUGGACUCUUUGUACAGCAAGGGCCUCGUGUUCCAGGCCUUCACCAGUGGCCUGAGGAGGUACCUGCAGUAUUACCGGGCCUGCGUCCUUUCCACUCCGCCCACCCUGAGCCUCCUCACCAUUGGUUUUCUCUUCAAGAAACUUGGCCGGCAGCUCAGGUACCUGGCCGAGCUCUGUGGCGUUGGCGCUGUGCUCCCGGGCACCUGUGGAGGAGGCCCCAGGGCCGCGUUUCCCACCGGCGUGAAGCUGCUGUCCUACCUCUACCAGGAGGCUCUGCACAACUGCAGCAACGAGCACUACCCUGUACUGCUGUCCCUGCUGAAGACCAGCUGCGAGCCCUACACCCGGUUCAUCCACGACUGGGUGUACAGCGGGGUGUUCAGAGACGCUUAUGGCGAGUUCAUGAUUCAGGUGAACCACGAGUACCUCAGCUUCCGAGAUAAGUCGUACUGGACACAUGGCUACGUGCUCAUCUCCAAAGAGGUGGAGGACUGUGUUCCCGUGUUUCUGAAGCACAUUGCCUACGACAUAUACGUCUGCGGAAAGACCAUUAACCUGCUGAAGCUCUGCUGCCCCCGGCAUUACCUCUGUUGGUCCGACGUCCCUGUCCCCCGGAUCUCGGUGAUUUUCUCCCUUGAGGAGUUGAAGGAGAUUGAGAAGGACUGUGCCGUCUACGUUGGGCGCAUGGAGAGGGUGGCCCGCCACAGCUCUGUCAGCAAGGAGGAGAAGGAAUUACGUAUGGAAAUUGCAAAACAAGAAUUAAUCGCUCAUGCCCGGGAAGCAGCAUCCAGGGUCCUGAGUGCACUGAGUGACCGGCAGAUGUCAGAACGGAUGGCCUUGGAUGCCCGGAAGCGUGAGCAGUUUCAGAGGCUGAAAGAACAAUUUGUGAAGGACCAGGAGCGACGCCAGGCGGCCAGGCAGGAGGAGCUGGAUGAUGACUUCAGCUACGCCCGUGAACUCCGAGACAGGGAGAGGAGGCUGAAGUCCCUGGAGGAGGAGCUGGAGAGGAAGGCGAGGCAGGCACUGGUCGACCACUACAGCAAGCUCUCUGCAGAGGCAGCUCGUCGGGAGCAGAAGGCACUGUGGAGAAUCCAGAGGCACCGACUGGAGAGUGCACGGCUUCGUUUUCUCUUAGAAGAUGAGAAACACAUUCAGGAGAUGCUGAAAGCAGUGUCUGAGGCUCACCAGCCCCAGGAGCCGCCAGACGUCCUCUUGAGCGUGCACCCCCAGGUCACGUCUCCGGGCCCUGAGCACCCAGAGGGAGGCCAAGGCUGUGAUUCUGGGUCUGCAGAGCAACACUCGCCUGCCUGGGAUGGCCGGAACAGGCCAGGCCUGCUGACCCCACAGCCCCUUAAGCCUCUAGCAGUGGGGGCUGGUGGCACGGGGCUGCAGCAGGCGGAGGAGGCCAGACCCUUCUCUGACAGCCUCAGCAUUGGAGACUUCCUACCUGUGGGCCCAGGGGCUGAGCCGUCUGUGCAGACUGGCAUGGUCCCUCUCCUGGAGGUGGCGCUGCAGACCAUUAACUUGGACCUGCCCCCCUCAGCUCCUGGGGAGGCACCCGCAGCAGCCAGCACUCAGCUCUCCAGGCCACAGGAGUAUGACUUUAGUACUGUCCUGAGGCCAGCUGUGGCCACCUCACCUGCACCAGGGCCCCUGCAGGCUGCCGAGUGCAGCUUGGGCAGCUCAGGGCUACAGCUGUGGGAGGACAGUUGUGGGAAGAUGGAUGCCUGUGGCUCCACCUCGCGGGAGACUCUGCUCCCCUCACACCCAUCCAGGCGUGCUGCUCUGGAGGAGGGGAGCAGCCAGCCCACAGAGCGGCUCUUUGGGCAGGUGUCAGGGGGUGGUCUUCCCACAGGGGACUUCGCUUCUGAAAUAGCUCCCGCCCGGCCACGGUGGAACACCCAUGGGCACGUGUCUGACGCCAGCAUCAGGGUCGGGGAGAAUGUGUCAGAUGUGGCUCCCACCCGGCCACGGUGGAACACCCACGGACACGUGUCCAAUGCCAGCAUCAGCAUAGGGGAGUCUGUGUCAGAUGUGGCUCCCACUCGGCCACGGUGGAACAUCCAUGGACAUGUGUCCAACGCCAGCAUCAGGGUCGGGGAGAAUGUGUCAGAUGUGGCUCCCACCAGGCCACGGUGGAAUACCCACGGGCACGUGUCCAAUGCCAGCAUCAGGGUUGGGGAGAACGUGUCGGACGUGGCUCCCACCCGGCCACGGUGGAACACCCAUGGACACGUGUCCGAUGCCAGCAUCAGCUUGGGGGAGUCUGUGUCAGACGUGGCUCCCGCCCGGCCACGGUGGAACACCCAUGGACACGUGUCUGAUGCCAGCAUCAGCUUGGGGGAGUCUGUGUCAGACAUGGCUCCCACCCGGCCACGGUGGAACACCCACGGACACGUGUCUGAUGCCAGCAUCAGGUUUGGGGAGAACGUAUCGGACGUGGCUCCCAUCCGGUCACGGUGCAACACCCAUGGACACGUGUCCGACGCCAGCAUCAGCUUGGGGGAGCCUGUGUCGGACGUGGUUUCCACCCGGCCACGGUGGAACACCCAUGUACCCAUCCCUCCGCCCCACAUGGUGCUGGGGGCUCCCUCACCAGAAGCUGAGCCCAACACACCCAGGCCCCAACAGAGCCCCCCUGGCCACACGUCCCAGUCAGCGCUCAGCCUGGGAGCACAGAGCACUGUGCUGGACUGUGGGCCACGGCUGCCUGUAGAAGUGGGGCCAUCUCUGUCCUCCCCCAGCUCGGGCUGCGGGGAGGGGAGCAUCAGCGUGGGGGAGAACGUGUCGGACGUGGCUCCCACCCAGCCAUGGUGGCCCAACACCCCGGGAGACAGUGUCUCUGAAGAACUAGGUCAGAGUAGGGUGGCUGGUGGUCAGGAGUGGGACUGUGGGACGCACAGAGCCUGGGAGGUAGGCGGGCAGUGGGGUUGGUGGCAUGUGAAGUUCCCUUCAGGCCUCCUUGUCAGCCAGGACCUGGGCUGCUGUGGGGGACAUGGGAGGGGCUGCUUGAGCCAGGGCCAGCUCGGCUCUGCUCUGCACUCUCCACAGGCACUCGGCCCUGAUGCCCUCGUGUCCACUUGUGUCCACACAGGCCCUGGGAGGAGCGGGGACACUGAGGAUCUCUCUCCAAAUUGGCCUCUCAACUCACAGCUGGUUGUAGGGACAGCGUGCAGUGGGGAGGUGGUUCUGAGGCUGGUGUUUUGUUAGGAAGACACAGCCGCCCAGAGCAGCCCAGGCCGUGGUGAGGAGGCGGAGGCAUCGGCGGCGGAGGCUCAGGGUGUGGAGCAGGCCUACCUGGCAGGCCUGGCAGGGCAGUACCACUUGGAACGGUACCCGGACAGUUACGAGUCCAUGUCCGAGCCGCCCAUUGCUCAUCUUUUGCGCCCCGUGCUUCCCCGGGCCUUCGCCUUCCCCGUGGACCCCCAGGUCCAGUCUGCCGCUGAUGAGACUGCCGUGCAGCUGAGCGAGUUGCUGACGCUGCCUGUGCUCAUGAAGCGCUCCAUCACGGCACCGCUGGCCGCCCACAUCUCCUUGGUGAACAAGGCCGCUGUCGACUACUUCUUCGUGGAGCUGCACCUGGAGGCGCACUAUGAGGCACUGCGGCACUUCCUGCUGAUGGAGGACGGCGAGUUCGCCCAGUCCCUCAGCGACCUGCUCUUUGAGAAGCUUGGAGCUGGGCAAACGCCCGGAGAGCUGCUCAACCCACUGGUGCUGAACUCUGUGCUGAGCAAGGCCCUGCAGUGCAGCCUGCAUGGGGACACCCCGCAUGCCUCCAACCUCUCCCUCGCUCUCAAGUACCUGCCCGAGGUGUUUGCCCCCAACGCCCCGGAUGUGCUGAGCUGCCUGGAGCUCAGGUACAAGGUGGACUGGCCUCUCAACAUUGUCAUCACCGAGGGCUGCCUGAGCAAGUACAGCGGCGUCUUCUCCUUCCUGCUGCAGCUGAAGCUCAUGAUGUGGGCACUCAAGGAUGUCUGCUUCCACCUCAAGCGCACAGCCCUGCUGAGCCACAUGGCCGGCUCUGUGCAGUUCCGUCAGCUGCAGCUGUUCAAGCAUGAGAUGCAGCAUUUCGUGAAGGUCAUCCAGGGCUACAUUGCCAACCAGAUCCUGCACGUCACCUGGUGCGAGUUCAGGGCCAGGCUGGCCACCGUGGGCGACCUGGAGGAGAUCCAGCGUGCGCACGCCGAGUACCUGCACAAGGCCGUCUUCAGGGGCCUGCUCACGGAGAAGGCGGCGCCCGUCAUGAACGUCAUCCAUAGCAUCUUCAGCCUCGUGCUCAAGUUCCGCAGCCAGCUCAUCUCCCAGGCCUGGGGGCCCGCUGGGGGCCCGCGGGGUGCAGAGCACCCCAACUUUGCACUCAUGCAGCAGUCCUACAACACCUUCAAGUACUACUCCCACUUUCUCUUCAAAGUGGUGACCAAGCUGGUGAACCGCGGCUACCAGCCCCACCUGGAGGACUUUCUGCUGCGCAUCAACUUCAACAACUACUACCAGGACGCCUGAGGCUGCUCUGCGGGGGACGUGCACAAUAAAGGUGUUCUCAGACCCUG